UACGGAGGGUGCAAGCGUUGUCCGGAUUUAUUGGGUUUAAAGGGUGCGUAGGCGGUCUGGUAAGUCGGCGGUGAAAGCCCAGGGCUCAACCCUGGAACUGCCAUCGAUACUGUCGGACUUGAGUACGGGUGAGGCUGGCGGAAUGGGCGGUGUAGCGGUGAAAUGCAUAGAUACCGUCCAGAACCCCGAUUGCGAAGGCAGCUGGCUAAGCCGUUACUGACGCUGAGGCACGAAAGCGUGGGGAGCAAACAGG
rnacentral:rRNA from 1 species